rnacentral:tRNA from 1 species
AGAGUAUAGCUUGGUGGUAUAGCUUGUGCUUAGCAUGCAUCAGGUCCUGGGUUCAAUCCCCAGUACCUCUA